AGCUAGGCACAGGUAAGGGGGCUGUCUCGGGUGGUGGCCAGGACCUCACCCUGCCUGACACUGCAGAGCCUGACGGGGAUGAAAGAAGCCUGCUGUGCCAGGAGAGGCUUUGCUCCCAAAUUAGUGGUGGAGAUGAUGGUGGUGGUGGAGAUAGUGGGGAUGAUGGCGGUAGUGGUCAUGAGGCUGGUGGAGAUGGUGAUGGUGGUGUUAAUGGUGGGGAUGAUGGUGAUGGUAAUGAUGAUGGUGGUGAUGGUGGUGAUGGUGGAGAUGAUAAUGAUGGUGAUGAUGGUGGUGAUGGUGAUGAUGAUGGUGGUGAUGGUGAUGGUGAUGAUGGUGAUGAUGGUGAUGGUGAUGGUGGUGAUGGUGGUGAUGGUGAUGGUGAUGGUGGUGAUGGUGAUGGUGAUGAUGGUGAUGGUGAUGGUGGUGAUGGUGAUGGUGAUGGUGAUGGUGGUGAUGGUGAUGGUGAUGAUGGUGAUGGUGGUGAUGGUGAUGGUGAUGGUGGUGAUGGUGAUGGUGAUGGUGAUGGUGAUGAUGAUGGUGGUGGUGAUGGUGAUGGUGAUGAUGGUGAUGGUGGUGAUGGUGAUGGUGGUGAUGGUGAUGGUGGUGAUGGUGAUGGUGAUGGUGAUGGUGGUGAUGGUGAUGGUGAUGAUGGUGAUGGUGGUGAUAGUGAUGGUGAUGGUGGUGAUGGUGAUGGUGGUGAGGGUGAUGGUGAUGGUGGUGAUGGUGAUGAUGAUGGUUAUGAUGGUGAUGGUGGAGAUGAUGAUGAUGAUAGUGAUGGUGGUGAUGGUGGUGAUGGUGAUGAUGGUGAUGAUGAUGGUGAUGGUGGUGAUGGUGAUGGUGGUGAUGGUAGUGAUGGUAAUGGUAAUGAUGAUGGUGGUGCUGGUGUUGGUGAUGGUGAUGGUGGUGAUGAUGAUGGUGAUGAUGGUGAUGGUGGAGAUGAUGAUGAUGGUAGUGAUGGUGGUGAUGGUGGUGAUGGUGGUGAUGGUGAUGAUGGUGAUGAUGGUGGUGGUGGUGGUGAUGGUGGAGAUGAUGAUGAUGGUAGUGAUGGUGGUGAUGGUGAUGGUGAUGGUGAUGGUGGUGAUGAUGGGGAUGGUGAUGGUAGUGAUGGUGAUGGUGGUGGUGAUGGGGGAUGA
rnacentral:lncRNA from 1 species